UAUGAACAUGAAUCUGUGAAUGUGCAC
rnacentral:piRNA from 1 species